rnacentral:rRNA from 1 species
UACGAAGGGGGCUAGCGUUGCUCGGAAUUACUGGGCGUAAAGCGCACGUAGGCGGGCUUUUAAGUCGGGGGUGAAAUCCUGGAGCUCAACUCCAGAACUGCCUUCGAUACUGGAAGACUUGAGUCCGGGAGAGGUGAGUGGAACUGCGAGUGUAGAGGUGAAAUUCGUAGAUAUUCGCAAGAACACCAGUGGCGAAGGCGGCUCACUGGCGCGGUACUGACGCUGAGGUGCGAAAGCGUGGGGAGCAAACAGG